AUGGCUCCCUGUCCCCUGGCAUUCAUGGGCCCCUACAGUGUGGGGCUUUUGCUGGGGACUUGCACCUAGAAGGGAGUGGAAGUGACGUGUGUCCGUUUCCCACUGAAGCAACGAGUUAAGAGGCAGGUUUGCCUUCUCCACUCUCCUCCCCCACCUGCCUGCUGGAUGCAGGGUCUCCUGAGGCCCUAGGGGAUGGCAGAGCCACCAGAGGGCGCGGGGGCCUGGCUUCAGGAGUCACUUCGUGGAGAGAAGGUGCCUGUCACCCAGAACACCCACAUGCAGGAAAACAAACAUCUCCCAUGUUAGGGCAUCGAGAUCUAAGAUGUGGUACAGCGUCUAGCUUGGGCGAUACCUGGAUGGCUGAAGGCAAAGCUCUGGAAGUCAGAAGUCCAAAAUCAAGGAGUUGUCAGGGCCACACGGCCGCGGAAACCCAUAAGGGAACCCUUUCUUGCCUCUUCCAGCUUCCGGUGCUUUGCUGGCGUCUUUGGCGUCCUUGACUUGGGGUUGCAUCAUAAGCCCUCCAUCCUCCCAAGGUCUUCUGUGUUCUCACGUCUUUCCUUUGAGCAUAUCUGUUCUGUCACUGUCUCCAAAUUCCCCCUUUUCAUACUGGAUUGGGGUACUCUAUAACCUCAUUUUUAACUUGAUUACCUCGAUAAAGACACUAUUUCCAAA